rnacentral:rRNA from 1 species
GGGUUGUGAGGUUAAGCGACUAAGCGUACACGGUGGAUGCCCUGGCAGUCAGAGGCGAUGAAGGGCGUGCUAAUCUGCGAUAAGCGCCGGUAAGGUGAUAUGAACCGUUAUAACCGGCGAUACCCGAAUGGGGAAACCCAGUGUGAUUCGUCACACUAUCAUUAACUGAAUCCAUAGGUUAAUGAGGCGAACCGGGGGAACUGAAACAUCUAAGUACCCCGAGGAAAAGAAAUCAACCGAGAUUCCCCCAGUAGCGGCGAGCGAACGGGGAGGAGCCCAGAGCCUGAAUCAGCAUGUGUGUUAGUGGAAGCGUCUGGAAAGGCGCGCGAUACAGGGUGACAGCCCCGUACACAAAAGCGCAUGUGCUGUGAGCUCGAUGAGUAGGGCGGGACACGUGGUAUCCUGUCUGAAUAUGGGGGGACCAUCCUCCAAGGCUAAAUACUCCUGACUGACCGAUAGUGAACCAGUACCGUGAGGGAAAGGCGAAAAGAACCCCGGCGAGGGGAGUGAAAAAGAACCUGAAACCGUGUACGUACAAGCAGUGGGAGCNNNNNNNNNNNNNNNNNNNNNNNNNNNNGGGCGUUAAGUUGCAGGGUAUAGACCCGAAACCCGGUGAUCUAGCCAUGGGCAGGUUGAAGGUUGGGUAACACUAACUGGAGGACCGAACCGACUAAUGUUGAAAAAUUAGCGGAUGACCUGUGGCUGGGGGUGAAAGGCCAAUCAAACCGGGAGAUAGCUGGUUCUCCCCGAAAGCUAUUUAGGUAGCGCCUCGUGAAUUCAUCUCCGGGGGUAGAGCACUGUUUCGGCUAGGGGGCCAUCCCGGCUUACCAACCCGAUGCAAACUGCGAAUACCGGAGAAUGUUAUCACGGGAGACACACGGCGGGUGCUAACGUCCGUCGUGAAGAGGGAAACAACCCAGACCGCCAGCUAAGGUCCCAAAGUCAUGGUUAAGUGGGAAACGAUGUGGGAAGGCCCAGACAGCCAGGAUGUUGGCUUAGAAGCAGCCAUCAUUUAAAGAAAGCGUAAUAGCUCACUGGUCGAGUCGGCCUGCGCGGAAGAUGUAACGGGGCUAAACCAUGCACCGAAGCUGCGGCAGCGACACUGUGUGUUGUUGGGUAGGGGAGCGUUCUGUAAGCCUGUGAAGGUGUGUCGUGAGGCAUGCUGGAGGUAUCAGAAGUGCGAAUGCUGACAUAAGUAACGAUAAAGCGGGUGAAAAGCCCGCUCGCCGGAAGACCAAGGGUUCCUGUCCAACGUUAAUCGGGGCAGGGUGAGUCGACCCCUAAGGCGAGGCCGAAAGGCGUAGUCGAUGGGAAACGGGUUAAUAUUCCCGUACUUGGUGUUACUGCGAAGGGGGGACGGAGAAGGCUAUGUUGGCCGGGCGACGGUUGUCCCGGUUUAAGCGUGUAGGUGUGUGUUCCAGGUAAAUCCGGUUCACUUUAACACUGAGGCGUGACGACGAGGCACUACGGUGCUGAAGCAACAAAUGCCCUGCUUCCAGGAAAAGCCUCUAAGCAUCAGGUAACAUCAAAUCGUACCCCAAACCGACACAGGUGGUCAGGUAGAGAAUACCAAGGCGCUUGAGAGAACUCGGGUGAAGGAACUAGGCAAAAUGGUGCCGUAACUUCGGGAGAAGGCACGCUGACACGUAGGUGAAGUGAUUUACUCAUGGAGCUGAAGUCAGUCGAAGAUACCAGCUGGCUGCAACUGUUUAUUAAAAACACAGCACUGUGCAAACACGAAAGUGGACGUAUACGGUGUGACGCCUGCCCGGUGCCGGAAGGUUAAUUGAUGGGGUCAGCGCAAGCGAAGCUCCUGAUCGAAGCCCCGGUAAACGGCGGCCGUAACUAUAACGGUCCUAAGGUAGCGAAAUUCCUUGUCGGGUAAGUUCCGACCUGCACGAAUGGCGUAAUGAUGGCCAGGCUGUCUCCACCCGAGACUCAGUGAAAUUGAACUCGCUGUGAAGAUGCAGUGUACCCGCGGCAAGACGGAAAGACCCCGUGAACCUUUACUAUAGCUUGACACUGAACAUUGAGCCUUGAUGUGUAGGAUAGGUGGGAGGCUUUGAAGUGUGGACGCCAGUCUGCAUGGAGCCGACCUUGAAAUACCACCCUUUAAUGUUUGAUGUUCUAACGUGGACCCGUUACCCGGGUUGCGGACAGUGUCUGGUGGGUAGUUUGACUGGGGCGGUCUCCUCCUAAAGAGUAACGGAGGAGCACGAAGGUUGGCUAAUCCUGGUCGGACAUCAGGAGGUUAGUGCAAUGGCAUAAGCCAGCUUGACUGCGAGCGUGACGGCGCGAGCAGGUGCGAAAGCAGGUCAUAGUGAUCCGGUGGUUCUGAAUGGAAGGGCCAUCGCUCAACGGAUAAAAGGUACUCCGGGGAUAACAGGCUGAUACCGCCCAAGAGUUCAUAUCGACGGCGGUGUUUGGCACCUCGAUGUCGGCUCAUCACAUCCUGGGGCUGAAGUAGGUCCCAAGGGUAUGGCUGUUCGCCAUUUAAAGUGGUACGCGAGCUGGGUUUAGAACGUCGUGAGACAGUUCGGUCCCUAUCUGCCGUGGGCGCUGGAGAACUGAGGGGGGCUGCUCCUAGUACGAGAGGACCGGAGUGGACGCAUCACUGGUGUUCGGGUUGUCAUGCCAAUGGCACUGCCCGGUAGCUAAAUGCGGAAGAGAUAAGUGCUGAAAGCAUCUAAGCACGAAACUUGCCCCGAGAUGAGUUCUCCCUGAGACUUAGAGUCUCCUGAAGGAACGUUGAAGACGACGACGUUGAUAGGCCGGGUGUGUAAGCGCAGCGAUGCGUUGAGCUAACCGGUACUAAUGAACCGUGAGGCUUAACCUUACAACGCCGAAG